UCCCUCUAUGGAAUAAUAGUGUAUUGAUCUUCAAAGGGUAUAUCUUUCAUUUCAAUUCAUAAAAGAUAAAGAAUCAUUUUUGAAAUGCUACCAGAGAUUCCUUACUAAGGAAAUACUAAGACAAACAGCAUUAUUAUGCCAUUGAUGUAAAAGAAAAAGCAUAGCUGUCAUUUCUUACUAUAUUUAUACUCAAUAAGGAGGGUUACAUCUGUGGAAUUCAUGGUCAAUUUUGUUUUAGUUAUACACUACAUGAACUUUGUGUACAGUCACUCACUUGACAUAGUCCACUUACCAUGGGGACCCUGCACUCUAAAUUUACAAAGAUUUUGUGUUAACACUAAUAAUCAUGUCUUCGUUGUUUUUAUAGGAGAAAAACAAGACUCCUUGUUCCUGUCCUUUCAGGAACUCAAACAUGGAAAUUUACUGGAAGAAUAACAGCAUAAAGCCAUUAUGACCAGAAGAUAGCUAAACAAGCAUGCAACAAUCACUUGCCCUUGGUUUAUUAAAUUAUAAACAGUCAAAUUGAAAUGUUACACACCUUAGAAGAUGAAGCCAAAGGAGGUACAGAGCUCUGUUGAACAGGCUCCUUUAGCUGCUGAAAUUCUCGAAGCUGGUUUACCAUCUCCUCAAUGAGUUUUAACU
rnacentral:lncRNA from 1 species